ensembl:lncRNA
AGAACAAUUUAAACGAAGAUUGAAAAGAGGAGCCAUGCAUGCAUUCAACACGGGUUUGUAAAAUUUUAUGAGGAGCGCUAUACUAGUUUUAUUGCUAGGAAAAUGGGGCUUUAUAUAUUUUCACAACACAAGUUGAUGAGGAAGUUUAGGGUUUGUUUGUGAGUAUGUAGGUAGCUAGCUAUAGGUAAGUAUUGGGGCGUAUUCAUUACGCCGAUUCUGUUGCCAGAAAUGUCUUAAUCGGGACGAAACGGGGGGGACCUGAAUAUUAGUUUAGAUUAAUAUUUACACCCCAGGGCCCGUCUUGCUGGUCGUGUAACAUGCUAAAGAUGCACAGUAAUUUGCAACCUUGUGAUAUACUCUUGCAAGGACAAUUGCUUGUGGCGAAACAAGGUUGCAUAAAUUAAAAUAAGGAAGCGAAGGCGUGACUUCUGGAGGUUCAGGAGUUUCACGUGCGAUGUUCCUUGGACAGAUUCUCUACGGAGAACCCUGCUUUCCACGGCGGUGACGGAACCACAUGUACCCUCACCUUUCUUGAAGCAGGAAGAAAAAGCCAUUUGCGAUCAUGGUGGGUGUCAGAGCGGUCUCGCCUGUCGUCCUUUAGGGAUCCUUCACAGUGAAGCAUGAGGAUCAGAGUACAGCUGGACUGUGGAAGUCUGUCUUUCUCCUACCCAGUCAACAGAAAACAUCUCCAAGUUCUCACACCUAUGGCGACGUGUUCACCUACUUCUGUAAUCUGGAUAAAGACACACACACCACCCUCUGAAGCUGCUACCAGAGUAUGUCUGGUCUGACAUCUAAGCGUCCUGAUGGCAAGGCAGAAGAAUGCAAAUCUCUUUGAAACCGAAGAAUCUAUUGGAGAAAUAAGUGGUCGCCAACUGAAUGUGCUUCAAGCUCAUUUGAAUAUUUUAAUAGACCUUUCCUUGUUGAUACCCAAAUCUUUUUCCUCAAACAUUCUGUUUCCUAUCACUCCUUGGCUUGAUGAAAUCUAUCUGAUAUUUUUCUUAUCAGAUGGUGUUGAAGGGAGACAAUCGCAUUCAAUAAAAUCUAACAACUUUUAAUAGAC